GGCGAGCGGCGAACGGCUGAGUAACGCGCUGGGAAUUUGCCCCAAAGUGAGGAAUAACUGCCCGAAAGGGUGGCUAAUGCCGCAUAUGAUCUUCGGAUUAAAGGAUUUAUCCGCUUUGGGAGAAGCCCGCGUCGGAUUAGGUAGUUGGUGAGGCAAUGGCUCACCAAGCCGACGAUCCGUAGCUGGUCUGAGAGGAUGACCAGCCAGACUGGAACUGAGACACGGUCCAGACUCCUACGGGAGGCAGCAGUGAGGAAUCUUCCACAAUGGGCGAAAGCCUGAUGGAGCAACGCCGCGUGCAGGAUGAAGGCCUUCGGGUUGUAAACUGCUUUUAUGAUUGAGGAAUUUGACAGUAGAUCAUGAAUAAGGAUCGGCUAACUACGUGCCAGCAGCCGCGGUCAUACGUAGGAUCCGAGCGUUAUCCGGAGUGACUGGGCGUAAAGAGUUGCGUAAGCGGUUUGUUAAGUGAAUAGUGAAAUCU
rnacentral:rRNA from 1 species